rnacentral:lncRNA from 1 species
UGCCCUGUCGUCAGCCACCAAAGCCCCGCUUUUGGCCUCCAGUGGCUCCUGCUCUUGCCUGCUGUCCCUUCCCACUGCCACCUUCUCUGUCACCUGCAGUUCCUCUGAUUGCUUUGUUCACAAAUGUGGGUGUGGCCUGCAGCCCCUGCCCUGGGUCCAUGCUGUGACAGCAAAGCCUCCCAUCAGACCUGGAACACAGUAGAUGCUUGACAAAGAGUCUUCUCUCAAAGAAAGACCCUCCUGCUCCAGAGCCACCUGCCAAGGUGCUGCUGCUGCAGGAGAGGGCUGGCGGGGCCUCAGCACAGGCCUGUCCUCUCCUGUGCAGGGCCCUGUGUCAGCCUAACUGGGAGAGCCACUGUGCAGACAUCAGACCCUCUGGCUGCUCUCACACAGUCUCGCCUUUGAACCUCCUUUGGCCUGGCUGGACCUUCUCUGGAGUCCUAGGGGAAGUAGUGUCCCUGACCCCACCCUGAACCUACUUCUUGCCUGCCUUGAGCUUGUUCAUCGGUGUGUUAAAGGCCAAGGACCUCAAAUCGCAGAGAGGUGUGGCUGCAGCUGAGCUGCCGGCAAUCGGGAGUACAGGGAGCCUGAGAAAGUGCCAUCGGCCCUGAGGGGACAAGAAGGAGGCACCGAGGCACAGCAGGCUGGUCCUGGUGCAGGAGGAAGGAGCCCGCUGGCAGGUAGUGGCCCGGCCAGGCAGCGGGGGCUGGGGCUGCCUCCAGCUCAGCACAGCGGGGCACAGCACGGAGAGAAGCUAUUCAUCUUCUGCGAAGAGCUGAGCUUCAGGGGAAUAGAAAUGAGGACGUGGGGCUGCAGCGGAGGAAAAGCAGCAGCCACGCUGGGCUCAUCACGUUAUCACCGCAAAAAUACAAUCAGAAGCAGCCCCCAGCCUCCCAAAUUCCUGCAGGUGCCUGCGCCUGAUUUCAUCUCCUAGCCUCGAAAAUGGAUGUUAAUUCCUCUCUCCCUUUUUCUUUAUGCUCCUCUCCACCCCCU